GUUAGAGAAGAACAAGGAUGAGAGUAACUGUUCAUCCCUUGACGGUAUCUAACCAGAAAGCCACGGCUAACUACGUGCCAGCAGCCGCGGUAAUACGUAGGUGGCAAGCGUUGUCCGGAUUUAUUGGGCGUAAAGCGAGCGCAGGCGGUUUCUUAAGUCUGAUGUGAAAGCCCCCGGCUCAACCGGGGAGGGUCAUUGGAAACUGGGAGACUUGAGUGCAGAAGAGGAGAGUGGAAUUCCAUGUGUAGCGGUGAAAUGCGUAGAUAUAUGGAGGAACACCAGUGGCGAAGGCGGCUCUCUGGUCUGUAACUGACGCUGAGGCUCGAAAGCGUGGGGAGCAAACAGGAUUAGAUACCCUGGUAGUCCACGCCGUAAACGAUGAGUGCUAAGUGUUGGAGGGUUUCCGCCCUUCAGUGCUGCAGCUAACGCAUUAAGCACUCCGCCUGGGGAGUACGACCGCAAGGUUGAAACUCAAAGGAAUUGACGGGGGCCCGCACAAGCGGUGGAGCAUGUGGUUUAAUUCGAAGC
rnacentral:rRNA from 1 species